AACAUGAUGGACUAUAGGACAGGACUGCUGCUUUUAACCAUCUGCUGCUGGACAGGUGUUGAUGGUCAGACUCUGACAGAAUCUGAACCAGUGAUUAAAAGACCUGGAGAAUCCCACAGACUGACCUGUACAGCCUCUGGGUUCACAUUCAGCAGCUACUGGAUGAACUGGAUCAGACAGGCUCCUGGAAAAGGACUGGAGUGGAUCGCUUUUAUCUAUGGUGACAGUAGCGGCAAAUUCUACUCCCAGUCAGUUCAGGGCCGGUUCACCAUCUCCAGAGACAACAACAGACAGCAGCUGUAUCUGCAGAUGAACAGUCUGAGGACUGAAGACUCUGCUGUGUAUUACUGUGCCAGAGGGCCACAACAACACAAACCAUCAGUAGACCUGAACAAAAACCCCUCGGUGCCUGAACACUUGUAA